CCUACGGGUGGCAGCAGUGAGGAAUAUUGGUCAAUGGCCGAGAGGCUGAACCAGCCAAGUCGCGUGAAGGAAGACGGCCCCACGGGUUGUAAACCUCUUUUGUCGGGGAGCAAAGCGAGCCACGCGUGGCGUAUUGAGAGUACCCGAAGAAAAAGCAUCGGCUAACUCCGUGCCAGCAGCCGCGGUAAUACGGAGGAUGCGAGCGUUAUCCGGAUUUAUUGGGUUUAAAGGGUGCGCAGGCGGGGGGGAAAGUCAGCGGUCAAAUUGCGGGGCUCAACCCCGGCGAGCCGUUGAAACUGGCGGCCUUGAGACGGCGAGAAGUACGCGGAAUGCGGGGUGUAGCGGUGAAAUGCAUAGAUAUCGCGCAGAACUCCGAUUGCGAAGGCAGCAUACCGGCGCGGAACUGACGCUGAGGCACGAAAGCGUGGGUAUCGAACAGGAUUAGAUACCCGGGUAGUC
rnacentral:rRNA from 1 species